rnacentral:lncRNA from 1 species
GGUUGUUGGGCAUUUGUCAGGUGCUGGUACCACCUCUGAAAUGCUGAUGGAUUUGCUCCUCCAAAGUUCCUGUUUGUUGACAGCUCUCAGAGCAAAUCCCUUCUGUUUGUUAUGAGUUGCCCAGGGGGAAAUAUCUGUGUGGACACGUUUGUGACUGCAGCUCUGGAGCGGGGGCUGCCCAUCUGGUAUCACCUUGCAGCAUGUAAAUAGCUUGGGCUGGCUGUAAAUAGCUUGGAGUGGCAAAAUCCUGAGAGCUGCAGGGCUGCAGAAAGCAACCUCUCUUUAUAUAUCAGCUUGGAACUGCUGGAAACAAUCUGUCUGCACAGGUGGUCCACUUCAACAUUCAGCAAAUACUUGAGAUCACAAUUGCAUCCUUUCUCUUUUGCUUACUCACUUUCCUUCUUUGCCACGGAGAAGAAAAUAUUUCCUGCUUUGCCACAGAGAAGAAAAGAUUUCAAGACUGGUGGUUUUGUAAUCCCUGGCAUCUGAGGAAGGAUUCCUGGUUGCUGAACCUGAUGUAACUGCGCAGAUGGACCAGGAAGAAGAGCAAGAAGAGCCUUGGAGGAGACACACAUGGGUCACAUUGAGACUUGCUCUUUCCCCUCAGGGAAAGCAGCCUGCUUGCCUUUGUCAGCUUGCAGGUGGUGAGCUGGGGCCCCUUCCAGAUCACCUUGAAUGCACAUAUCUGCAGGACGUGCUGGCAGCAGGCUCCAGAGGAGGAGAGGAGCAGUUUGGGGACAGCAUGGGAGUCAGCGUGGUUGCUCAGAGGCCCAGCAAGGUGGCUGUGAGGAGGGAAAGGAG